rnacentral:rRNA from 1 species
AAUAGAUACCCCGGUAGUCCACGCCGUAAACGAUGGAUGCUGGCCGUCGGCAAGCUUGCUUGUCGGUGGCGCAGCUAACGCAUUAAGCAUCCCGCCUGGGGAGUACGGCCGCAAGGUUAAAACUCAAAGGAAGUUGACGGGGGCCCGCACAAGCGGUGGAGCAUGUGGUUUAAUUCGACGCAACGCGAAGAACCUUACCAGCUCUUGACAUGUCAGGUCGGUUUCCAGAGAUGGAUUCCUCCCAGCAAUGGGCCUGAACACAGGUGCUGCAUGGCUGUCGUCAGCUCGUGUCGUGAGAUGUUGGGUUAAGUCCCGCAACGAGCGCAACCCUGCCAUUAGUUGCCAUCAUUAAGUUGGGCACUCUAGUGGGGACUGCCGGUGAUAAGCCGGAGGAAGUGGGAUGACGUCAAGUCAUCAUGGCCCUUAGGGCUGGGCUACACACGUGCUACAAUGGCGGUGACAGUGGGCAGCAAACCAGCAAUGGUNAGCUAAGUCUCAAAAAGCCGUCUC